UGAACUUUGAGGCUUCUGCCUGGAGAGGUU
rnacentral:piRNA from 1 species